rnacentral:rRNA from 1 species
CCUACGGGUGGCUGCAGUGGGGAAUAUUGGACAAUGGGCGAAAGCCUGAUCCAGCCAUGCCGCGUGUGUGAAGAAGGCCUUCGGGUUGUAAAGCACUUUCAGUGGGGAAGAAAGCCUUGGGGCUAAUACCCUCGAGGAAGGACAUCACCCACAGAAGAAGCACCGGCUAACUCCGUGCCAGCAGCCGCGGUAAUACGGAGGGUGCGAGCGUUAAUCGGAAUUACUGGGCGUAAAGCGCGCGUAGGCGGUCUGAUAAGCCGGUUGUGAAAGCCCCGGGCUCAACCUGGGAACGGCAUCCGGAACUGUCAUGCUAGAGUGCAGGAGAGGAAGGUAGAAUUCCCGGUGUAGCGGUGAAAUGCGUAGAGAUCGGGAGGAAUACCAGUGGCGAAGGCGGCCUUCUGGACUGACACUGACGCUGAGGUGCGAAAGCGUGGGUAGCAAACAGGAUUAGAUACCCGAGUAGUC